GCUUGUCUCAAAGAUUAAGCCAUGCAUGUCUAAGUAUAAGCGACUAUACUGUGAAACUGCGAAUGGCUCAUUAAAUCAGUUAUGGUUUAUUUGAUGGUACCUACUACUUGGAUAACCGUAGUAAUUCUAGAGCUAAUACAUGCAGGAAGACCCGACUCACGAAGGGUUGUAUUUAUUAGAUAAAGAACCAAUCCAUGCUUGCAUGGUUUUGUGGUGAUUCAUAAUAACUGAUCGAAUCGCAUGCCUUCGGGCGGCGAUGUAUCAUUCAAGUUUCUGACCUAUCAGCUUCCGACGGUAGGGUAUUGGCCUACCGUGGCAAUGACGGGUAACGGGGAAUUAGGGUUCGAUUCCGGAGAGGGAGCCUGAGAAACGGCUACCACAUCUAAGGAAGGCAGCAGG
rnacentral:rRNA from 1 species